AGGAACACUAAAUACAUAACAUCAUCCAAACCAAGUGAAGCAUCCACUUCCAAAGGAUUAUAUGGCCCAAGCUUUUUAUAUGAUGCUCAUUUUGGCCCAGCAGAAACCAAGCUGUCCUUGAAGUAUUGUUGUCCGCGUGCCAGCAUAUAGUCUCAUAUUUUUACUCAUCAUCAUAAGUGUCUCCAUGAUCUUACGAUUGAAGUGUUAGAUGCUCGUAAGUCAUCCUCCUAACAUCAUGUGGUUCUACAAGAAUUGGUCAAUCUGAUAUAAUAUCAGUUUUAGGAGAAUUUCUUAAUACAGUUACUCUUGUGGAAAAUUUCAUGUUAAGCUCUUUAAAAAUUUAAGAGUUUGGUUAUUUUUCUUAUGAUUAUCUAGGUGCUCUGAAUUUAUUACUUUUAUGACUUCCUUAUAGUUAUAUUCAAUUCAAAUACAAACAAAAAUAAUUAAAUAGAGAGCAAGAAUAAAAAAUUUGUUGAAUU
rnacentral:lncRNA from 1 species